GCCCCAGUGGCCUAAUGGACAAGGCACUGGCCUCCGGAGCUAGGGGUUGUGGGUUCAAGUCCCACCUGGGGUA
rnacentral:tRNA from 1 species